AACGAACGCUGGCGGCAGGCUUAACACAUGCAAGUCGAGCGCGUGUAGCAAUACACGAGCGGCGCACGGGUGAGUAACGCGUGGAUAUCUGCCUUUUGGUUCGGAAUAACCCCGGGAAACUGGGGCUAAUACCGGAUGAUUCCUACGGGAUAAAGAUUUAUCGCCAAAAGAUGAGUCCGCGUCCGAUUAGCUAGUUGGUGAGGUAACGGCUCACCAAGGCGACGAUCGGUAGCUGGUCUGAGAGGACGAUCAGCCACACUGGGACUGAGACACGGCCCAGACUCCUACGGGAGGCAGCAGUGGGGAAUAUUGGACAAUGGGGGCAACCCUGAUCCUGCCAUGCCGCGUGAGUGAUGAAGGCCUUCGGGUUGUAAAGCUCUUUUGGCGGGGACGAUGAUGACGGUACCCGCAGAAUAAGCCCCGGCUAACUUCGUGCCAGCAGCCGCCGUAAUAC
rnacentral:rRNA from 1 species